UGUACAUCUAGCUUGUCAACAAAUUCCGUGAACCCCCCAGUCCAGAGCCAGUUUAAUGGUUCUUGUUUUACUGACCUCAGAAUGGUGCAAGACUUAGCUGGGAAUGAAAUCGAGAUUCUGCAGCGUAUCUAGUGUACACAUUGUAACUGAAUUUAAAGGAUGGGUCGAUGGACCUGUACCAUCAUAAUAGAAUGUUUGUCGAUAUCAAAAGGAAAAUGCAAUGACUUAGACAGUAUAAUAACAAUUUUACAUGUAUAUCACUGUCAUGCCAUCACAUGAAUACAUUUGUGUAUUUACUUGCAUAAGCUGUUGUGACAUCAUGUUUGUGCCUGUAUUUACCCGAUUUGUGCAAAAAUAAAGAACGUUUAAAUUUUUUUUAUAAAAAUAGGAAAAUAAAGGUUAAAAGCAAAGGUCAUGUGUAGUUGGGCCACCUUUUUAAAGAAUGGUUUGGAUGGUGCUUUAAAAUGCAAAAAAAAGAAUUACAUGCAAACAUAAACCAUACUCACUUCUCACGGUUACUCAUAGUGACGUCUCACAGGAAGCGGCUCAGAUCUCAGCUUUCUAAUUAACCGCAAACAGGAUACAACAUAUAAUGUUACUAUAUCCACCAUGUUUCAGACAAAUAAUACGUAUUGAUAGGCAAAAUCAGACAGGAAGUUAAAUCAUUGUAUAUUGUAUAUACAGCAUCUUUCAUGUGCUGCCCAACAGCCCAUCAAUAUGAAGAAAUGUACGUCCAAGAAAAUGUCACGGUAACCGUAAAAAAAAUCCAAAACUUGGGUAGAUUCAUUCUUUAAAUAAAUAAAUACAUACAUACAAAUAAUAAUUUAGCUUCUUGCAGUAAAGAUAAAGUAAAAGUUCCGCAUUCUGUCUAAGUUGUAAAGUUACUUUUGCCCUUAGUGCGACAAUACACCCACUCUUCCUCUUUUUUGCAUAAAUCCCUUCCUUUUAUAUAAUAUUUUUGGACGUUCUUGGUACGUUGCUGUUAUCACAUUACAUUGUUCCCAUUGUCUUCAUUGUUCCUGUUCCCGGGACAGUUUUGUUUGACACCCCGGGUGAUCUGGUCUCAUUUUGGGAGAAGUAAAUAUUAGGAUGAAAUCAGGUUAAAUCUAGUUAAAGAAGGAAUUGAAAAAAAAUGUUAUUUUGCAAUAAACCCACAAUCCAGUGCAAGGUAUUAAGUCCUAUGCUGACAGUUAAAUGACAGGGAAUUAUUUCAAGCUGUAGAGCAUGCAGAGACAGGUAAAAGGGGGCCAGUUUAGAAAAUGCCAGCAGCAUGCACAAUAUCCACUAAUAGGGCAGGUAGUGUUGGGCAGGUGUACAGGAUAUAGAGCAGGUAGUGUUGGGCAGGUGUACAGAAUACAGAGCAGGUAGUGUUGGGCAGGUGUACAGGAUACAGAGCAGGUAUUGUUGGGCAGGUGUAUAGAAUACAGAGCAGGUAGUGUUGGACAGGUGUACAGGAUACAGAGCAGGUAGUGUUGGACAGGUGUACAGAAUACAGAGCAGGUAGUGUUGGAUAGGUGUACAGGAUAUAGAGCAGGUAGUGUUGGGCAGGUGUAUAGAAUACAGAGCAGGUAGUGUUGGGCAGGUGUACAGGAUACAGAGCAGGUAGUGUUGGACAGGUGUACAGGAUACAGAGCAGGUAGUGUUGGACAAGUGUACAGGAUAUAGAGCAGGGAGUGUUGGACAGGUGUGCAGGAUAUAGAGCAGGUAGUGUUGGACAGGUGUACAGGUGUACAGGAUACAGAGCAGGUAGUGUUGGACAGGUGUACAGGAUAUAAAGCCGGGAGUGGUGGACAGGUGGACAGGAUAUAAAGCCGGGAGUGGUGGACAGGUGUGCAGGAUACAGAGCAGGUAGUGCUGGACAGGUGUGUAGGAUACAGAGCAGGAAUGUUGCCGGAAUGCUAGUUUUGAGAAGCAGGGAUAUAGAAUGAGGAGCAGGGGAACAGGCUGGGGAGCAGUGGUACAGUCUAGAGAGCAUUGUCUAUGGCUAUGGGGAGGCUUAGAGGUAAAAUGAUCUCAGCAGUCACUUUGCAGACAAG
rnacentral:lncRNA from 1 species